rnacentral:rRNA from 2 species
CCCUUGUUCUUAGUUGCCAGCAUUCAGUUGGGCACUCUAAGGAGACUGCCGGUGACAAACCGGAGGAAGGUGGGGAUGACGUCAAAUCAUCAUGCCCCUUAUGACCUGGGCUACACACGUGCUACAAUGGAUAGAACAAAGGGCAGCGAAGCCGCGAGGUGAAGCCAAUCCCAUAAAUCUAUUCUCAGUUCGGAUUGCAGGCUGCAACUCGCCUGCAUGAAGCCGGAAUCGCUAGUAAUCGCGGAUCAGCAUGCCGCGGUGAAUACGUUCCCGGGCCUUGUACACACCGCCCGUCACACCACGAGAGUUUGUAACACCCGAAGUCGGUGGGGUAACCUUUUGGAGCCAGCCGCCUAAGGUGGGACAGAUGAUUGGGGUGAAGUCGUAACAAGGUAGCCGUAUCGGAAGGUGCGGCUGGAUCACCUCCUUUCUAAGGA